CGGGGUGAGUAAUGUCUGGGAAACUGCCUGAUGAGGGGGGAUAACUACUGGAAACGGUAGCUAAUACCGCAUAAUGUCGCAAGACCAAAGAGGGGGACCUCGGGCCUCUUGCCAUCGGAUGUGCCCAGAUGGGAUUAGCUAGUAGGUGGGGUAACGGCUCACCUAGGCGACGAUCCCUAGCUGGUCUGAGAGGAUGACCAGCCACACUGGAACUGAGACACGGUCCAG
rnacentral:rRNA from 1 species